GCAUGAUGGGAAGAAGAAGCCCGUCCUUUGUUGGGAGAAGCCAUAUUUUAACAUGGAGGCUGCUGUUCCGUGUUGCAGCCAUCUUAAGUUAACAUCAUUCAUUUACAACAAGUAAGAGUCAGAAGGAGGAAGAGAAGACCUAUAAAUUACUAGACCAAGGAGGGGAAUUGAUCUUCCAGCCAGGGAUCAAAAGCCUCACCCUGACUGACCUAAAGGAAACAAAGGAAGAUGGAGUUUUUGUUUUUGAUGAACCAUAAUCUUUAUAUAGUCUGAAAAAGAGAACAACAUCACUGAUGCUUAUGCUUUAUUUUUUGAACUUGUUAAAUAAACCAGAGCCAGAAAGUAACAGAAUAUUGAUGAAUAAGGACUUAAAAAUAGCAGAAGUCAGUGUCAUUUACCUGAGAGGUACUUUAAAGUACAUUCAAAUAGCAGAAUGGGAAUACACUAAGAG